rnacentral:rRNA from 2 species
UUCCACAAUGGACGAAAGUCUGAUGGAGCAACGCCGCGUGAGUGAAGAAGGGUUUCGGCUCGUAAAACUCUGUUGUUAAAGAAGAACAUAUCUGAGAGUAACUGUUCAGGUAUUGACGGUAUUUAACCAGAAAGCCACGGCUAACUACGUGCCAGCAGCCGCGGUAAUACGUAGGUGGCAAGCGUUGUCCGGAUUUAUUGGGCGUAAAGCGAGCGCAGGCGGUUUUUUAAGUCUGAUGUGAAAGCCUUCGGCUCAACCGAAGAAGUGCAUCGGAAACUGGGAAACUUGAGUGCAGAAGAGGACAGUGGAACUCCAUGUGUAGCGGUGAAAUGCGUAGAUAUAUGGAAGAACACCAGUGGCGAAGGCGGCUGUCUGGUCUGUAACUGACGCUGAGGCUCGAAAGUAUGGGUAGCAAACAGGAUUAGAUACCCUGGUAGUCCAUACCGUAAACGAUGAAUGCUAAGUGUUGGAGGGUUUCCGCCCUUCAGUGCUGCAGCUAACGCAUUAAGCAUUCCGCCUGGGGAGUACGGCCGCAAGGCUGAAACUCAAAGGAAUUGACGGGGGCCCGCACAAGCGGUGGAGCAUGUGGUUUAAUUCGAAGCUACGCGAAGAACCUUACCAGGUCUUGACAUACUAUGCAAAUCUAAGAGAUUAGACGUUCCCUUCGGGGACAUGGAUACAGGUGGUGCAUGGUUGUCGUCAGCUCGUGUCGUGAGAUGUUGGGUUAAGUCCCGCAACGAGCGCAACCCUUAUUAUCAGUUGCCAGCAUUAAGUUGGGCACUCUGGUGAGACUGCCGGUGACAAACCGGAGGAAGGUGGGGAUGACGUCAAAUCAUCAUGCCCCUUAUGACCUGGGCUACACACGUGCUACAAUGGAUGGUACAACGAGUUGCGAACUCGCGAGAGUAAGCUAAUCUCUUAAAGCCAUUCUCAGUUCGGAUUGUAGGCUGCAACUCGCCUACAUGAAGUC